rnacentral:rRNA from 1 species
GACGAACGCUGGCGGCGGGCCUAACACAUGCAAGUCGAACGAAGUCUUCGGACUUAGUGGCGGACGGGUGAGUAACACGUGGGAACGUGCCUUUAGGUUCGGAAUAACUCAGGGAAACUUGUGCUAAUACCGAAUGUGCCCUUCGGGGGAAAGAUUUAUCGCCUUUAGAGCGGCCCGCGUCUGAUUAGCUAGUUGGUGAGGUAAAGGCUCACCAAGGCGACGAUCAGUAGCUGGUCUGAGAGGAUGAUCAGCCACAUUGGGACUGAGACACGGCCCAAACUCCUACGGGAGGCAGCAGUGGGGAAUCUUGCGCAAUGGGCGAAAGCCUGACGCAGCCAUGCCGCGUGAAUGAUGAAGGCCUUAGGGUUGUAAAGCUCUUUCACCGGAGAAGAUAAUGACGGUAUCCGGAGAAGAAGCCCCGGCUAACUUCGUGCCAGCCGCCGCCGUAAGAC